GACGAACGCUGUCUGCGUGCCUAAUACAUGCAAGUCGAGCGAAGUUUUUCCUGGUGCUUGCACCACAAAAACUUAGCGGCGAACGGGUGAGUAACACGUAAAGAACCUGCCUCAUAGACUGGGACCACUAUUGGAAACGAUAGCUAAUACCGGAUAACAGCAUUUAACUGCAUGGUUGAUGUUUAAAAGUUGGUUUUGCUAACACUAUGAGAUGGCUUUGCGGUGCAUUAGCUAGUUGGUGGGGUAAAGGCCUACCAAGGCGACGAUGCAUAUCCGACCUGAGAGGGUGAUCGGCCACACUGGGACUGAGACACGGCCCAAACUCCUUCCGGAGGCAGCAAUAGGGUAAUCUUCCGCAAUGGGGGAGGGCCUGACGGAGCAACCCCGCGUGAGUGAUGAACGAUGUCCGCUUGUACACGCAUCUGUUGUUAGGGAAUAAUGAUUGUGCAGUAACUUAUACACCGCAAAGACGGUACCUAACCAGAAACCCAUCGGCUAACUACGUGCCAGCCGCCGCGGAAAUACGUAAGAGGCAAGCCUCGUCCGGUAUUAUUGGCGAAGCGCGCGCAGUGGUUUAAUAGUCUGAUGUGAAAGCCCACGGCUCAACUGUGGAGGGUCAUUGGAAACUGUUAAACUUGAGUGCAGGAGAGAAAAGUGGAAUUCCUAGUGUAGCGGUGAAAUGCGUAGAGAUUAGGAGGAACACCAGUGGCGAAGGCGGCUUUUUGGCCUGUAACUGACACUGAGGCGCGAAAGCGUGGGGAGCAAACAGGAUUAGAUACCCUGGUAGUCCACGCCGUAAACGAUGAGUGCUAAGUGUUGGUCUCAUAAGAGAUCAGUGCUGCAGCUAACGCAUUAAGCACUCCGCCUGGGGAGUACGACCGCAAGGUUGAAACUCAAAGGAAUUGACGGGGACCCGCACAAGCGGUGGAGCAUGUGGUUUAAUUCGAAGCAACGCGAAGAACCUUACCAAGUCUUGACAUACUGUGAGGACACAAGAGAUUGUGUUGUUCUGACCUUUGGUUAGACACAGAUACAGGUGGUGCAUGGUUGUCGUCAGCUCGUGUCGUGAGAUGUUGGGUUAAGUCCCGCAACGAGCGCAACCCUUAUAUCUAGUUGCCAGCAGUAAGAUGGGGACUCUAGAUAGACUGCCAGUGAUAAACUGGAGGAAGGUGGGGAUGACGUCAAAUCAUCAUGCCCCUUAUGACUUGGGCUACACACGUGCUACAAUGGAUAGGAACAAAGAGAAGCGAGCUCGCGAGAGUAAGCAAACCUCACAAAACUAUUCUCAGUUCGGAUUGUAGUCUGCAACUCGACUACAUGAAGCUGGAAUCGCUAGUAAUCGCGAAUCAGAAUGUCGCGGUGAAUACGUUCCCGGGUCU
rnacentral:rRNA from 1 species